rnacentral:rRNA from 1 species
UUAAGCGACUAAGCGUACACGGUGGAUGCCCUGGCAGUCAGAGGCGAUGAAGGACGUGCUAAUCUGCGAUAAGCGUCGGUAAGGUGAUAUGAACCGUUAUAACCGGCGAUUUCCGAAUGGGGAAACCCAGUGUGUUUCGACACACUAUCAUUAACUGAAUCCAUAGGUUAAUGAGGCGAACCGGGGGAACUGAAACAUCUAAGUACCCCGAGGAAAAGAAAUCAACCGAGAUUCCCCCAGUAGCGGCGAGCGAACGGGGAGCAGCCCAGAGCCUGAAUCAGUGUGUGUGUUAGUGGAAGCGUCUGGAAAGGCGCGCGAUACAGGGUGACAGCCCCGUACACAAAAAUGCACAUGCUGUGAGCUCGAUGAGUAGGGCGGGACACGUGGUAUCCUGUCUGAAUAUGGGGGGACCAUCCUCCAAGGCUAAAUACUCCUGACUGACCGAUAGUGAACCAGUACCGUGAGGGAAAGGCGAAAAGAACCCCGGCGAGGGGAGUGAAAAAGAACCUGAAACCGUGUACGUACAAGCAGUGGGAGCACGCUUAGGCGUGUGACUGCGUACCUUUUGUAUAAUGGGUCAGCGACUUAUAUUCUGUAGCAAGGUUAACCGAAUAGGGGAGCCGAAGGGAAACCGAGUCUUAACUGGGCGUUAAGUUGCAGGGUAUAGACCCGAAACCCGGUGAUCUAGCCAUGGGCAGGUUGAAGGUUGGGUAACACUAACUGGAGGACCGAACCGACUAAUGUUGAAAAAUUAGCGGAUGACUUGUGGCUGGGGGUGAAAGGCCAAUCAAACCGGGAGAUAGCUGGUUCUCCCCGAAAGCUAUUUAGGUAGCGCCUCGUGAAUUCAUCUCCGGGGGUAGAGCACUGUUUCGGCAAGGGGGUCAUCCCGACUUACCAACCCGAUGCAAACUGCGAAUACCGGAGAAUGUUAUCACGGGAGACACACGGCGGGUGCUAACGUCCGUCGUGAAGAGGGAAACAACCCAGACCGCCAGCUAAGGUCCCAAAGUCAUGGUUAAGUGGGAAACGAUGUGGGAAGGCCCAGACAGCCAGGAUGUUGGCUUAGAAGCAGCCAUCAUUUAAAGAAAGCGUAAUAGCUCACUGGUCGAGUCGGCCUGCGCGGAAGAUGUAACGGGGCUAAACCAUGCACCGAAGCUGCGGCAGCGACGCUGAUGCGUUGUUGGGUAGGGGAGCGUUCUGUAAGCCUGCGAAGGUGUGCUGUGAGGCAUGCUGGAGGUAUCAGAAGUGCGAAUGCUGACAUAAGUAACGAUAAAGCGGGUGAAAAGCCCGCUCGCCGGAAGACCAAGGGUUCCUGUCCAACGUUAAUCGGGGCAGGGUGAGUCGACCCCUAAGGCGAGGCCGAAAGGCGUAGUCGAUGGGAAACAGGUUAAUAUUCCUGUACUUGGUGUUACUGCGAAGGGGGGACGGAGAAGGCUAUGUUGGCCGGGCGACGGUUGUCCCGGUUUAAGCGUGUAGGCUGGUUUUCCAGGCAAAUCCGGAAAAUCAAGGCUGAGGCGUGAUGACGAGGCACUACGGUGCUGAAGCAACAAAUGCCCUGCUUCCAGGAAAAGCCUCUAAGCAUCAGGUAACAUCAAAUCGUACCCCAAACCGACACAGGUGGUCAGGUAGAGAAUACCAAGGCGCUUGAGAGAACUCGGGUGAAGGAACUAGGCAAAAUGGUGCCGUAACUUCGGGAGAAGGCACGCUGAUAUGUAGGUGAAGUCCCUUGCGGAUGGAGCUGAAAUCAGUCGAAGAUACCAGCUGGCUGCAACUGUUUAUUAAAAACACAGCACUGUGCAAACACGAAAGUGGACGUAUACGGUGUGACGCCUGCCCGGUGCCGGAAGGUUAAUUGAUGGGGUCAGCGCAAGCGAAGCUCUUGAUCGAAGCCCCGGUAAACGGCGGCCGUAACUAUAACGGUCCUAAGGUAGCGAAAUUCCUUGUCGGGUAAGUUCCGACCUGCACGAAUGGCGUAAUGAUGGCCAGGCUGUCUCCACCCGAGACUCAGUGAAAUUGAACUCGCUGUGAAGAUGCAGUGUACCCGCGGCAAGACGGAAAGACCCCGUGAACCUUUACUAUAGCUUGACACUGAACAUUGAGCCUUGAUGUGUAGGAUAGGUGGGAGGCUUUGAAGUGUGGACGCCAGUCUGCAUGGAGCCGACCUUGAAAUACCACCCUUUAAUGUUUGAUGUUCUAACGUUGACCCGUAAUCCGGGUUGCGGACAGUGUCUGGUGGGUAGUUUGACUGGGGCGGUCUCCUCCUAAAGAGUAACGGAGGAGCACGAAGGUUGGCUAAUCCUGGUCGGACAUCAGGAGGUUAGUGCAAUGGCAUAAGCCAGCUUGACUGCGAGCGUGACGGCGCGAGCAGGUGCGAAAGCAGGUCAUAGUGAUCCGGUGGUUCUGAAUGGAAGGGCCAUCGCUCAACGGAUAAAAGGUACUCCGGGGAUAACAGGCUGAUACCGCCCAAGAGUUCAUAUCGACGGCGGUGUUUGGCACCUCGAUGUCGGCUCAUCACAUCCUGGGGCUGAAGUAGGUCCCAAGGGUAUGGCUGUUCGCCAUUUAAAGUGGUACGCGAGCUGGGUUUAGAACGUCGUGAGACAGUUCGGUCCCUAUCUGCCGUGGGCGCUGGAGAACUGAGGGGGG